AUGAAUUCCUCUCACUUCCUCUCCCUUUUUUCCUGUUAUCUUAAGUUACCUGCCGGUAAUGAUGAAGCGUACAGUGUGAUUACCUCAGUACCUGCUGCUGACUGUCCUACUGGUUUGGAUAAAUCGAAAAUGCAAGAGUCUCAAAAUGAAGACUCUGACAUAUACCAUGUGUACUCCACCAUCUCUGAGGAGCCACCUCCAUCAGCCCUGAAGGACAUGGUGUACAGCACCCCGCAGGCACAUUGAAACAAAAACAUUUUAAUACUGUAUAGAGAAACAGAACGCAGACAGCCUUAAGAACUGUUUCAAAUGAUGUGUAAUUUUUAAACUUGUCCUUUAUAGUGUAACCUAUGAUCUAGGGAGGAAAAUUGAUGUAUCUGCCAUGAAUGAACACAUUCUUAGCUGGAUGGCUUCUUAUCUGUCAGAGAGGGACCAGCAGGUUGGGAAGGGUGUUACUUCUCUGAGCCUUUGCCCGUCACUUGCGGAGUGCCACAAGGCAGUGUCCUGAGCCCCCUUCUGUUUUAAUGCUGGUUUUGUUUUCAGUUUGUGAGUCUGUGUGUGUGUCUUUCUCUGUGGAUAGAUUUUUGUAAAAAGAUGCAGUCAUGAAACUAUACAGAUGUGUUGUUGAGAUCAAAUUUAAGGUUAAGUUCGAAGAUGGGCAUGGGACCAUUGGCGAAGGGACCAUUGGCCCUCCUCUUUAUGCCCCCCACCUUAUGGCCAAUUUAUCAUCAAAAAUCUUUACAGGUCUUUAAUUGAGAUACAAAACAAAGUCAAGUUCAAAGAUGGGUGUGGUCAAAUCGAGCGUGCCAUAAGUAGGGGGCUGGGAAGUGGGAAGGGGCCAUUGGCCUCCCACUUCAACCCCUUACCCGAUUUGGCGUCACAGCUGGAGUAAUCCCAUCGGAAGAUGGUUUCUAGUUGUUUCAUGUUAUUGACAUGAAAACAACCAGCUAAAGUCCUUGUUUCCUAUACGGACAAUUUAGACAUUCUGAAGGGGAUAUUAGUUGAUCAGUGUAAUACAUUAUUCAUCUGAUUGUCGGACAAUAGACUGCUUUUACACUUUGGCAUAGUCUUAUUUAAGGCUAGGAAUAACUCUGACCAGGACAUUAAGACUGCUGUUAGUUUGUGGUAUGAGGCCCUUAUAUGAACUUUGAAACACAAACUCUCUAGACCCACAAAUGUAAAUGACACCUCCCUUUUGUUUGAUUAAGAACCAACCAAAGUGUCAAAGUACGGGGCGGAGCAGUGAAUCCCAUGCAGAAGUGCCAAAAAUGGCUGUUCCUCGAAUGGCCACUUGAGGUUGGCUCCAAAAGCGAGUCAAUGUCCACACACCCCCAUGUUAAAAGGCCUAACUUUAUAGCAGAAAUAAACAUGUUCGUGUUCGGUCUCUAUAGCUAAUAUCCCUGGAGCCCCCAAUUCUUCACCUUCACAACAGCUCUUCAAAACCUAUGGGUGAAGUCACAGCGAAUAUGUCCAUGUUUUAUACAGUCUAUGCAGCCAAAACACAUUACAUUGACAGAAUUGACAGAUACAACUGGCGAACAAAAUGGCUCUCAUUGCUCCCAAGCAGUAUGCACACUAGAUGAUAGUUAACAACAUGGAGGUCCCACAUACGUCUGUUUGACACAAAGCUACUAUCUGUAUCUGUAUGUUACAAAAACCCUGUAUUUGUAUCUAUAUUCUGAUUUUACCUGAAGUGGCCGUGGUUUCUAUCGGCAGUUGUAAG
rnacentral:lncRNA from 1 species